CUGGAAAGGAGAAACAUCAAACAUGGCCAAAGGAGAUGCCAUAGGCAAGAGAGGUGAUCCAGGAGCAAGAUGUUGUAUAGGAGUAGGCAUGUUGGUGAGAUUGCGCUGUGCUGAAACCAUAUUCAAACUAUUCAUGUCCCCUUCACCAACACCCAUCGGAGAAGAAGCUGGGUUAUGCUUCCAGUCAGGUUGCUUCCCAGACGGAAUGUAGGUGGUACCCAUGAAACUCAAGCCAACCUGUCCAAACUGUCCAACUGGUGCAAAAUGGUUGUACACAACCAUGUGUGGAGGACCUUGAACACCUGGAAUGCUUCCAGGAGGGCUGAUGAAAGGACCAGUAAAACCUGUCGGAGGGCCAUAGAAUGAAUCUACACCAGAAUGGUGUUGCCAGGUCCCAACUGGUCUCGAAACUGAAGUAUUACUCUUCUGGGGCUGCGAUUGGGUAGAUGCAGACUCAUCAUGUGGUCCAAAAGUAUAGAUAGGUCCCCCCAACAUCGGAUUCAUCUCAUAGAAUGGAAAAUGGGAAGCUGGACCUCCAGGGACAUGAGAAAGCAUCUGGCUAGAAGAAUU
rnacentral:misc_RNA from 1 species